UGCAAAAUGUAGGAUGAUUAUAGAACAGGGGGUGGAAAAAAAUAUGGCAGCAGUUUAGCAGCUGCUUUCUCUCUCAUCUCUCAGGCUUUCUUAAAGAGCUGGACUGAAAAUCUCUUGAACUGCUUCCUUUAAGCUCAGUUGUCCUAAAUCCUUUCUUUCUCAGAAGGAAGGAAAGCUGCAUCCCUGAUAGCUGGUAUGCAAUGAAGGGACCAGAAGGAAAGUACUUUGCUUCAAGAAAGGACUGUGGUAGUAAUGAUCAAGAUGAUGCUUGCCACAAACUUUCUAAAAAACCACCAUUCACAAGACCAUAGCAGUUUCUUCUGAAAACACUAAUCCACAGAUAUCCAUGGCAGGCUAAGAGGUUAAGAGACGCAUCUAGAGAACUGGAAAAAAUUAUGAACAAGUCCUUUGUCUUGACCCUCAGUGUACUAUUUGGAUUCUUUAUUAUAGCAUUCACCUGGAACAAGGAACUGCAGCUUCUCUCCUGGAUACGGUCAGCUACAGAUGUGAUGCCCAUUUCUACAUGUAUGGAACAGUACUCGAAGCAGUCCUCAUUAGACUGAAGACACCUCUUGGAAAAUGCCAGCUCCUAGUUUCACUUGAUUUUCAACUGAGAAAAAUAAUGGAGCAAUUCUUCUAUUGCAAAGAACUCAGAAAGACCCCCAACAGCAGGAAUUAUAGAUGAAAGACAGACUCUUGCAAAUGAUUUAAGUUGUCUCUGGACUCACACCUGCAGCCCAGAUCCAUCCUCUGCAUCCAGUUUCUGCAUUGUCCAAUUAAGCACCAGGUCCCAGCAUUGUAAAGUCCUCCAGAGUGGGAGGAUGUACUUUCCAUGGCAAUCUGCUAACUCCAACUACAAGAGGGUCUAUUGCUGUUGCCCCAAAGUGGGCAAUGUUUGUCAGGAACGGAUAUGAUGAGGGCAAGCGAAGCAUGUUCUGAUUCAGCACAGCUCCUAUGCACAACUUAUCCAUGUCACAACCCUGCUUGGAAACUCCCAAGACUGAUGUUUGUGCCUCCUCCACCAGAUGCUAGAUGAAUCUGAGCAGACUGAAGUGUUGUCUCUUUACUUGGCAUCUCAUUACAUUUUUGGGGCACAGACUGUCUGUGUGUAAUCCCUUUACAGAAAUGUACGUUUAAGUCUAGCUGCCCAGGACCACCAUUUGGGUGCUUGUGGUUAAGUUCAUGACCCAACAAAGUCCAUCCCCUCUAGGACGGAAAGUGAUAGUAACAGUGUUGUUACUCAUCACCUUGGGAUAGAAGGGGAAGAAGAGAUUUGUUUCUACCUGAAAUUAGAGAGAAACAAAAUAAAAUUGUCGUACUUGGAAUCUGGCCAGAAAUUGGUACCAAGUCCCCAGUCCUUCUUUCUCACAAGUUCAGUGUAUAUGUGUUGCACAGAAAUAAAGCUUCAUGUCAGCAAUUAAUUACUGGUGGGACAAGGAAUUGAAAAAAGACUUGAACUGACCUCAGAUACAGCUUCCUUAUUCAUCUCAGCUGUUUUCAGAUUUUGCAUUGUAGUCUAACUGGACUAAGCACAGCAAGUUGUUAGUCACGCAAAUCAAAAAAUAUUCAGGUUUUUUCUUCUUUUACAGGCUUUCUAGUUGUGGCAGAUGGAUUUUGAAUUUAAGAGAGUAUGGAAAAGUUAAGAACUUUAAUCAGUAAGAGAAGUGCCUGUGAUCAAGAAAGUUUGAGCCUUGAUCAGGAUCUACAAUGACCAAAUUUCAGCCAUGACAGGUUGUUAACAAACCUGUUUGGCCUAACAUUAGUUAUCAGUCAAAUAUCUUGUUUCUAUAGGCAGACAUGUUCUUUGGGUAAAUCUGAUAUCUUUUAUUCUGUUUCUAUAAACACUUGCUCUGUUUCUAUAAACGCUUGCUCAAUGGUGCAAUAAUUCAGUGGUUUGUCAUGCACCUAUUCAUCUUCCUGGACUUGUUAAUGUUUAUGGAACCGUUCACUUUCAACUGGCUUAUAAAUUUAUUUUCCAGUCUCCCCAAAAGAUAAAACUUGAGAGAAAUUUCAUUUGGUUCUUAUCAUAACCCAAUGAUUUUUAGUGCCUCGGCACAUUGGAAUUUUCCUGCCACAUGGAGCUUUCUUUGCACGGUGGAUUUCUCAGCUGCAAAGAGAAAACCCGGUGCAAAGAGUUCCCGCCACACACAUGCAAAUUCGUACCCCAUUAUUGGCUGAUUCUAAAUUAUUCCUAUGUGGUGGCUAGCAAUUGGCUCGCUAGCCGUAUAAAAGGUCAGAGCAGUUUCCGCCCAAGCUGGAGGACUCCACAACCAUCUCGUGGGGAACUCUGAGCGCGCUAUGGAGCCUAGCAAACUCCGCGUGUGUCUUGGAGGAGGACAGAGAGGCCUGAUCAGCUCUUAGCCACUCCCGGUCAUAGUGUAAAUUUGAUGUAUCCCCCGUGUGAAGCGCUCGUGGAGUUGUAUAUCGACGACUCAUCUCGGUUCGGCGCGUUUCGGAAGAGAUCUCAUUUGUGUUUGUUUGUGUGCAACUGCAACUCAACUCAACUGCAACUCAAGCAAGUUUCCUUCCUGCACUGUGACCAUUGGCAGUGCCCUGAUUUGAUUCAGUGCAUCAGAUGGGUGGUGCUUAUGGAAAAAAAUCAAAGGUGCAUCGGGAAAGAUACCAUCAUUUCUAGACUUCUUCCUCAUUACUGAAGGAAUUGGAAGGUUCUUGAUUGCAAAGAUCACUUCUCACUUCUGGGUUGGAAGGUGUCACCCUCAGUCUACAAACCACUUGCUGUAGGUCAGGAUACAAAGUGAAGAAAAGCCUAUUCAAAGGAAAAAUGAAGUUUAGCCAAGAGUCAAUGCUGUGUCUUGGUCUUGGACUUGGGACUGGCCUUGAUAACCACCGGUUUCCAACAAGACAGAACUGAUAUAAAGUGGGAUCUUAAUGUGACUCUUUAUAUUGCCUUUGUGUUUCUUAAACAUAGUAUAUACCAAUACUAUAGUAUUACACUAUGCUAUGAAAAUAUCUGACAAAUACUUAAAAAUGCAGGGGUUUAAGUCUAAAGGCUAUUAAAAGAGUACUAAUUUUGCCCAUUAUUUUUUUUCAAUAUUGUUCUCUGAACCAUUGAAGCCUGAGAAAGUGUUUUUAUUUGUAUGGUUAACAUCAUUCUGUAUCCAAAGAGCACGGCAAUAUUUUCAAAUAAAAAAAUCUGUGGGAACCUUAUUAGAAAAAACUUCAGGGCUACACAGGACUCUGGUCAGUGUUCUUUGACAAAAUUAAAAAAAUAAAAAGUAGGUUCCAAAAAACUUGAAAAAGCAGCAGUAUUGAACCAAAAGGGGAUUGUCAGGUGAUUAUUUAACUGUAAAAGAAGGAAAUAUAGUAUGGAAUUAACAAGAACCUGGUUAGACAGAAAGUAAUACAUUUUUCACCAACAUAUUAAAAUAAAAAGCAGCUUUGUUUCUUUAACAGAACAUUACAUUUAUUUGGAAGGGAAAACAUACUUUUCUCUAAACAUUUCCAUAGUCCAAAUACUGACUCUGUGGUAUGACAAUCCUGUAGAAAGACAGACUUCCAGAAGGGGAGAUUUUAUCUCAUAACUGUACUUUCUUUUAGGAUUUUCUGCCCUAACUCAAGCUGUAAUAGAGAGGAAUUAAGUCGUGAAAGAUACUGAGAGACUCACUUUGGCAGAGAGGUCAUGAUGCCUUGAGUUAGAGGAGUUAUUUGUAGACAUGGGUAAAUCUUAUUUUAGUGAAUAGUUUACUUACAACAAAUGUAGUUUCAGACACUAUUCAUGACUUUAGAUGCAGCUUAGCAAAUACUUUUGGCUAAUAAAAAGAAUGACAACAAAAUUUAGAAAAGUUGGAACAACGUGUUUGUUUUAAUAGUGGGACUUGGCCCAUGUGCUCAAAACUACCAAAGAUCACCACCCAGGCCCCGGUGCACCCUGUACCCCAGUGGUUCCCUGGAGAGAUAGGAUACCUGAAUUCAUAUCCCCUUUCUGCCCAAUUUGAAACGUAUCCCACUUUUCAAACUCCUAACCACUGGACUAUAAACAAGCACUCUGCACCUCCUUUCUUUCUGCACUGGGUUUGUGAAUGGUGUUAUUACAGUCUCCCUGUAAAUGUAAUUAUUUCAUUUUGUUCAACUGCAAAUUAACUAUUUGUAAUUUUCCAAAAUGUUUGGAGAAAAUAAGUGUUUUUUUCUUUUGCUUCCUUUUCUUUUCCUUCCAUCUCUGAAAACAGAGAAAAAUCAGUUAUUCACACAGCUUUACAUAGCCUCACUUCUAACUUUGUCUGCCUUGUUUACCAUGGAUCAUAUCCUGACUGGAUCCCUAUACCGUGUAGAGAUAUGUCUGAAUAAUAAUUGUAAUUUAAACAUAUAAUUACAUUGGUUUAUCCAUGGGGUUUCUUGGAAAAAAAGAGCAAAAAAUCCAUCUUCCUUCCUUCCUGGGAGCACAUUCCUUUAUUCUGUAUAUGAUUAUAAAUGGCUAAUGGACAAGGACAAUGUUUAAGGUUAAUGUUUUAUACUUAAUGUGAAUAGGUUUUUAGGAAAGGUCAUGACAAUCUAAACUAGGAGGUGAACCUACAGAAAAUUAGCUAAGUCAUAUAAUAAAUUAAUGUUGUUUUUCAGGGUGUUCACAAGCAAUUGUGACAUCACAAUACAAAUGUAUCAUUCUCAUGGACAAUUUCAAGGUGAAGGAAACAAAAACAUUAAACAGAAAUGUAUCUGUAGGCUCAAUUUAUCUUGGAGUAAAUAUCAAAGUGAAAAUAUAUAUUAUGUGUCAAAUGCAGUUGAAGACCUCAAUAAAUGUGUGUGUGAAGUGUUUUGAAAAAAGUUAAAUUAUAAACAAAAUAAGGUCAUCAAUAGGUAAUAGAAAGCCAUCAUGUUCGAAACGAUACAAAACCAAACAAAAAUCAACAUGCCAAAUACCAGUCUGUGUCAUAAGAGCACUUACGGGAUUUUCUAGCUAUUGACUGGAAAGCACUGAACAAGUCUCUUCUCAGACAUUCCUAACUUCCCCGUGUAAUUAGUCAAAUUCUACUCUCCGCUGUUAUACCCAAUGGGACUUUAUGGUGUAAUGGAAGCAGAAUUUGGCAGUACAUAUUAGCAACGUCAAUAACACUAAACCUAUAAGAGUUGUGUGUCAGUUUGCAAUAUAAUUUAUAAUAAAGGUUCUGUCAGCUGU